AUUGAACGCUGGCGGCAUGCCUUACACAUGCAAGUCGAACGGUAACAGGUCUUCGGAUGCUGACGAGUGGCGAACGGGUGAGUAAUACAUCGGAACGUGCCUAGUAGUGGGGGAUAACUACUCGAAAGAGUGGCUAAUACCGCAUGAGAUCUACGGAUGAAAGCAGGGGAUCGCAAGACCUUGUGCUACUAGAGCGGCCGAUGGCAGAUUAGGUAGUUGGUGGGAUAAAAGCUUACCAAGCCGACGGUCUGUAGCUGGUCUGAGAGGACGAUCAGCCACACGGGGACUGAGACAGGGCCCAGACUCCUACGGUAGGCAGCAGUGGGGAAUUUUGGACAAUGGGCGCAAGCCUGAUCCAGCAAUGCCGCGUUCAGGAUGAAGGCCUUCGGGUUGUAAACUGCUUUUGUACGGAACGAAAAGCCCUGGGUUAAUACCCUGGGGUCAUGACGGUACCGUAAGAAUAAGCACCGGCUAACUACGUGCCAGCCGCCGCGGUAAAAC
rnacentral:rRNA from 1 species